GAGAAAUAUUCGAAUAUUUUGAUGUUGGAUAAAUAUGUGAUUUUUCUCAGAACAUGAAAAGGGUGUGAAUACAUAGAAACCACACAAGGUGUGUAAUGCAUUAUGUUUGAGACAGCAAAAUACUGUUAUUAUUGAUCAAGACCUAUUCAUUAGAAUAUUUAUCUCAGUAGCUGACCACUCGUUGGGUUUUUGUAAAGAGCUAAAUUGUUUACAACAGCUGUUGAGAGACUUAUGUAGGAGGGAGAAAUAAUGUUAACGUGAUUGAAAACUUGCUUGGAUCAAGAAAUGAUACAAAGUAGAUAUGUUUGUCACAACCAAAUCCUAGUAAUUGCUGUAAAACAGUAGUUUCUAGACAGAGCGCACGAUUUCCCUACACGGAUCUGACCAAGUGUAUUUAGUUUUAUAAUUGCCUGGUAACUAAAUCUCCAGACGGGGUCCCGGGGUUAGUCACAUUCUAUGCAUGGACGAGGCUCUGUGUAUUGGCCUGAGAGGUGAUGGUGACUGACGGCAUAUGGUGGACGACCGGAAGAGUUUCCGGUAGUUGAUUACCUGGAGCAGGUGAAGUGGUGAACUGGUGGACACGGUGGACACGAUGGACGAUGAUUCAUGGUAGCAUGGUGAUGGGCGGAGACAGGAGGAUUAGAGCCCAAGGACCGUCUCGCGUCGUAUCUUGCCGACUCUUUAUUGUAUAUUUGUAAUUUUUGUAUUUAAAUAUUUUACUGUACAUUGUAUUGAUG